AGUCAGCUCUCUGGCUGGGAGAAGCCCGGCCGACCCGGUGGCGCUUCUCAGUGAAGGGGCGUCUCUGAGCCGAGACCUGCACUGCGAGAAUGAAAGGCCCGUGUAGAUCCUCAGGCCUGGACUUUCUCCUAGCCAGCCUCCCCUUUCAGGAUAAGUGCUGCCCUGAUCUCUGGUGGCUGCUUGGCCAUCAUUGUCACCGUGAUCACCAUCCUGGUUUACAAAAAACACAAGGAAUACAAACCAAUUAAAAGCAGUACUGAGAAGGUGGUCAAAAGCAAAGGCCUACAAGUCAUCCUCAACUACACAAAGGCCGUGUUCUUCCCGGGAAACCAGGAGAAGAACCCACUGCUCAAGGACCACGCACGAAUUCUUUAAGUCUUCAGCCUUAUUUCUGUCAGCACUCCACUCUUCAGUGCUGUUCAUGUGAACUGUACAGGAGCAGAUCACUGUUAGCUUUUUUCUGAAGAUUAUUAUAAAAUAUAUACCUGAUUUAGGGAGGUUGAAUUAAAUCACACUUUAGAGAAGUGAUAAGACAACUUAGCAGUGCUUCCUUUCCUGUUGCAAUUCAUGGAUAACAUUGUAGGUGAGCAGUAGCAUAGACAUCCUACCCCCCAAGAGUAGGGAGAAGGACUGUGCCUCAGACUCUGACCCAGGUUAAGUGGGAGGAGAGGCUGGGCACUUUCUAGCUGUCCAUAUAACUGUAUGCAUAACACCAGUGUAGUCCUGGCCUGAAGAGUAGGUUCCAGGCCAGCCGAAUCCCAUUUCGUGCAGAAGAGGCAGAGGCCUGACCCUUCUGUCCGAUGUGCAAACUUGUUAUACUCAGAAAACGAUGCUAAUCUGAUAAAACAUGUGUGAUGGGGACAACCUGCCCUGCCCAGCUGAGUGAAGGAAUGAUACUCCCUCGUUUACCCAUGGGCAUUUAUUUAGUGCUUUCACUAUACCAGAGCGGGUGCUAGGUACAUGGCCCUGCAUUCAGAGUGGGCACUUGGGUAUAUACCUGAAUUUCUGCACACUCUAGAUCACAGAUUUAGGAUCAUAAGUUUUGACUUUCUAACGGAGGGCCCUAGUUUUCCUACCAGUUUUUCUAUUUAAAUGAUAUGGAAACUUGAUCAGUGAGGAUUUUACCCCCAUCUGCAACUAAAAUCAUCUGUCAGAUGUUAGACAUGACAUUCUUUUGCUCCUCUUCCUGAAAAAUAAAUAUGGGAAGACACAACA